UCUCGUGAAGAGGCGAGAAUAAACAUAUAAGACGAGAAGACCCUAUGGAGCUUAAAUUAACUAAUUUAAUUGCUACCCUAUAAGUCUACAAGAUACAACUAAGUAGCAUGAUAAAUUAACAAUUUUGGUUGGGGUGACCUCGGAGAAGAAAAAAACCUCCGAAUGAUAUUCUAAUUCAGACUCUACAAGUCAAAAUUUACUAAUCACUUAUUGACCAAAUAUAUAUAUUGACCCAAUAGUUGAUCAACGGAACAAGUUACCCUAGGGAUAACAGCGCAAUCCUACUCUAGAGUCCCUAUCGACAGCAGGGUUUACGACCUCGAUGUUGGAUCAGGACAUCCUAAUGGUGCAGCCACUAUUAAGGGUUCGUUUGUUCGACGAUUAAAGUCCUACGUGAUCUGAAUUCAGACCGGAGCAAUCCAGGUCGGUUUCUAUCUAUAGUUU
rnacentral:ncRNA from 1 species